rnacentral:rRNA from 1 species
GUCGGAAUUGCUAGUAAUCGCAGAUCAGCAUGCUGCGGUGAAUACGUUCCCGGGCCUUGUACACACCGCCCGUCACACCAUGGGAGUCGGUAACACCCGAAGUCGGUAGCCUAACCGUAAGGAGGGCGCCGCCGAAGGUGGGAUUGAUGACUGGGGUGAAGUCGUAACAAGGUAUC